CUGUGGGGCUGUUGGCAGGUUUAGAUCGGAAAACACAGGCACACUCUCCACCCGAGCACCUGGUACAGAGGGAGCACGUUGCAGAGGGUCAUCCCCCACGUCUAAACAGCAAGCACCGGCGCGCGUGCGUGCGCGCACACGCGUUUGCGCAUGCGCAUGCCUAUAACACCCGCUAGUAAAACCACGAGUUGCGGCAAUCCGCGAUCCCUGCGGCCGUAAGCCCCUCUGCAGAAGACUCCAGGGAGAGGGAAGUGGAGGGGACCUACCUGUCAUUUCAAAGCCACUUGGGGAUGUGUCCCAGGUGGGAAAAUGGCUAAUGUCAGCGGAGCAGGAAGAAGGUGGACGUCCCUAACGUGCAGGAUGGACACAAUGGGGUUGAGGGCACCACCAGGGUCACCAACAUGCGGCCUCGAGCUGGGGACUCUGUGAUCCAGAGAGAGGAAGUGACACACAGAGCCAGGCCGGUGUCCAGGACAGCUCCAACAGAAACUGCCUCCCAUCAGAAGAAUGGAGAGUAGGAGGAUUGAUACAGCUUGCUGUCCAUCAGGACACAAUCCAACUGCAGAAUCUUCCAGAAAGAAACACUCUAAUGACUCUUGAAAAAUAGAAGUCUGAUCAUCUUACUCUCAUCUUUCUCAAAAUAAUGCUGCAAGCCCUGGGAUGGUUUAUAAACCCCACAGAGCCAGCCCCCAUAGCCUCUCCUCUCAGCACACUCCAGUGAUAGUCCAGCCUCAGGGCCUUUGCACUUGCUGUUUUCUCUGCCUGGAAGAUUUCCCCCCACAAAUCUGUGAGUUCACUCCCUUCCAUCCUUCAGAUUUUUUCUGAUACAUAUUUCCCCCUUGCAGCCUUUCCUAACCAUCCCUAUUUAGGCCUCCUUAACCCCUUCCUGGCUCACCAUUCUCCACAGUGCUUCUCACCAUCUGGCCUCCUUAUAUUUUAUGUCUUUACUGUUUUGCCUAUCUGCUCCCACUACAAUACAAGCUCUACCAGGCAAGGAUUCGUGUCUGCUAUAUCCCCAGAAUCUAGAACAAUGCUUAGCACACAGUAGGUAUCAAGAAAUAUCAAGAAAUAUUUGCAGAUGGAAUUGACUGAAUGGACAUGAGCAGAUCCGAAAGAAGGAGACCAGGACUGUUCACACAGAGUGACUUCUACGUUAACUGGGUACUGAGUACAUGUAAAAGAUAAUACUGUUUAUUCAUCUGCUUACUUAGCAAAUAUGUCCUGAGUACUUACGAUGUGCCAGGCACUGCUCUAGGUAAUGGGGCUAAAGUCCAAAGCCAGGGAGACGUAAUCCCUGCCCUCAUGGGCUUUAUAAACUAGAGCAACACAGACAAUAGACAAGAAAUGAAUAAGUAGAAAGAAGCAUUUCAGAUUGUGAUAAGAAUUAUGAAGGAAAUGAAAAAGGUGAUAGCAUAGAGUAUCAGUGGUAGGAAGAACUACUUUGAAUGAGGUGCCCAAAAUAUCAUACUAGCUCGGUAACUGCUUCAGAGGAAUCUGAGUCUCAGAGAGGUUAGGUAACUUACUCAAAUCACACCGCCAGAAAAUGGCAGGACCAGAGCUUGAGUCAAAAGUGGGACUCCAGGGCCCGGUAUUUUUCCACUAAACCCCAAAGCCCUCCCCACCUACCCCUAAGAGAUUGUAUUUCCAACCAAAUGGUGGGUCUUGGGUUUGAGUGCUAUCCACCAAAGGACAUCUUGAUAUUCGGAAACAUUCAAAGGAAUGGGUAGAGAAAGAAAACAAGCUCUGAGGUCCUCGGGACAGGUGCAGAAUUUUUUGACACAGGUCCUAUGAAAGACACUAAGUGGCCUGUCCCCAAAAGAGUGAAGGGAGAAUAUUUUUAAGGACAACAUGAGAUCUAGACCAACACAACUGGAAGCCUCAUAGGCAGCUGCUGUCCAGAGUCGGCUCACAACAAAAUGGGAAAAUAAAAGGAAA